rnacentral:rRNA from 2 species
UAACACGUAGGUAACCUGCCCAGAAGCGGGGGACAACAUUUGGAAACAGAUGCUAAUACCGCAUAACAACGUUGUUCGCAUGAACAACGCUUAAAAGAUGGCUUCUCGCUAUCACUUCUGGAUGGACCUGCGGUGCAUUAGCUUGUUGGUGGGGUAAUGGCCUACCAAGGCGAUGAUGCAUAGCCGAGUUGAGAGACUGAUCGGCCACAAUGGGACUGAGACACGGCCCAUACUCCUACGGGAGGCAGCAGUAGGGAAUCUUCCACAAUGGGCGCAAGCCUGAUGGAGCAACACCGCGUGAGUGAAGAAGGGUUUCGGCUCGUAAAGCUCUGUUGUUAAAGAAGAACACGUAUGAGAGUAACUGUUCAUACGUUGACGGUAUUUAACCAGAAAGUCACGGCUAACUACGUGCCAGCAGCCGCGGUAAUACGUAGGUGGCAAGCGUUAUCCGGAUUUAUUGGGCGUAAAGAGAGUGCAGGCGGUUUUCUAAGUCUGAUGUGAAAGCCUUCGGCUUAACCGGAGAAGUGCAUCGGAAACUGGAUAACUUGAGUGCAGAAGAGGGUAGUGGAACUCCAUGUGUAGCGGUGGAAUGCGUAGAUAUAUGGAAGAACACCAGUGGCGAAGGCGGCUACCUGGUCUGCAACUGACGCUGAGACUCG